GAGUUUGAUCCUGGCUCAGGAUGAACGCUAGCGGCAGGCUUAACACAUGCAAGUCGAGGGGUAACGGGGAAGCUUGCUUCCGCCGACGACCGGCGCACGGGUGCGUAACGCGUAUACAAUCUACCUUAUACUGGGGUAUAGCCUUUAGAAAUGAAGAUUAACCCCCCAUAGUCUCUUAGAGUGGCAUCACUUCUAGAGUAAAGGUUACGGUAUAAGAUGAGUAUGCGUUCUAUUAGUUUGUUGGUGUGGUAACGGCACACCAAGACUACGAUAGAUAGGGGCCCUGAGAGGGGGAUCCCCCACACUGGUACUGAGACACGGACCAGACUCCUACGGGAGGCAGCAGUGAGGAAUAUUGGACAAUGGAGGCAACUCUGAUCCAGCCAUGCCGCGUGCAGGAAGACUGCCCUAUGGGUUGUAAACUGCUUUUAUACAGGAAGAAACACCUCUACGUGUAGAGGCUUGACGGUACUGUAAGAAUAAGGAUCGGCUAACUCCGUGCCAGCAGCCGCGGUAAUACGGAGGAUCCAAGCGUUAUCCGGAAUCAUUGGGUUUAAAGGGUCCGUAGGUGGAUAAUUAAGUCAGAGGUGAAAUCUUGCAGCUCAACUGUAAAAUUGCCUUUGAAACUGGUUAUCUUGAGUUAUUAUGAAGUAGUUAGAAUAUGUAGUGUAGCGGUGAAAUGCAUAGAUAUUACAUAGAAUACCAAUUGCGAAGGCAGAUUACUAAUAAUCAACUGACACUGAUGGACGAAAGCGUGGGUAGCGAACAGGAUUAGAUACCCUGGUAGUCCACGCCGUAAACGAUGGUUACUAGCUGUUUGGACUUCGGUCUGAGUGGCUAAGCGAAAGUGAUAAGUAACCCACCUGGGGAGUACGUUCGCAAGAAUGAAACUCAAAGGAAUUGACGGGGGCCCGCACAAGCGGUGGAGCAUGUGGUUUAAUUCGAUGAUACGCGAGGAACCUUACCAGGGCUUAAAUGUAAGUUGCAUUAGUUAGAGAUAGCUAUUUCUUCGGACCACUUACAAGGUGCUGCAUGGUUGUCGUCAGCUCGUGCCGUGAGGUGUCAGGUUAAGUCCUAUAACGAGCGCAACCCCUGUUGUUAGUUGCCAGCGAGUCAUGUCGGGAACUCUAGCAAGACUGCCAGUGCAAACUGUGAGGAAGGUGGGGAUGACGUCAAAUCAUCACGGCCCUUACGUCCUGGGCUACACACGUGCUACAAUGGUAUGGACAAUGAGCAGCCACUAUGCGAAUAGGAGCGAAUCUAUAAACCAUAUCACAGUUCGGAUCGGAGUCUGCAACUCGACUCCGUGAAGCUGGAAUCGCUAGUAAUCGGAUAUCAGCCAUGAUCCGGUGAAUACGUUCCCGGGCCUUGUACACACCGCCCGUCAAGCCAUGGAAGCUGGGAGUGCCUGAAGUCGGUCACCGCAAGGAGCCGCCUAGGGUAAAACUGGUAACUAGGGCUAAGUCGUAACAAGGUAGCCGUACCGGAAGGUGCGGCU
rnacentral:rRNA from 1 species